UGCAUACUUAAUCGUUUAUGCUUUUGAGGAAUCAGCGAUGUUCGGUCAGCAAAGAUGAUGUCAUUUUUGUAUAUUUUUGUGCGAUAUAAGUUGGUGUGCCUAUUUUUUUUUAUUUCAGUACUCUAUUGAAAAUUGCCAGUAAGCAUGAACGGAGAUCAUAAACUAAAGAAUGAAUUUCGUUUCUUACCCUGCUAAGAAGAUCUAAGACACAUUUUACUCGGUUUAGCAAAACUUCGUUUUGCCCAAUUUAAGAACUUUUUACACACUUUUAUCCGCU
rnacentral:lncRNA from 1 species